GCGCGAGUGCCGGAAUUGGUAGACGGACCGGGUUUAGGUCCCGGGGCCUUCGGGCGUGAGGGUUCGAGUCCCUCCUCGCGCA
rnacentral:tRNA from 1 species